rnacentral:rRNA from 1 species
GACGAACGCUGGCGGCGUGCUUAACACAUGCAAGUCGAACGGAAAGGCCCUGCUUUUGUGGGGUGCUCGAGUGGCGAACGGGUGAGUAACACGUGAGUAACCUGCCCUUGCCUUUGGGAUAACUUCAGGCAACUGGGGCUAAUACCGGAUAGGAGCUCCUGCUGCAUGGUGGGGGUUGGAAAGUUUCGGCGGUUGGGGAUGGACUGGCGGCCUAUCGGCUUGUUGGUGGGGUAGUGGAUUACCAAGGCUUUGACGGGUAGCCGGGCUGGGAGGGGAACCGGCCACGCUGGGCCUGGGAUGCGGCACAGACUCCAACGGGAGGCAGCAGUGCGGAAGAUUGCACUAGGGGCGGAGGCAUGGUGCAGCAAAGCCGCGUGCGGGAUGACGGCCAGCGGGUUGUAUUCCGCUUUCGCCUGUGACGAAGCGAGAGUGACGGUACUGGGUAAAGAAGCACCGGCUAACUACGUG